rnacentral:rRNA from 1 species
ACUAAGCGUACACGGUGGAUGCCCUGGCAGUCAGAGGCGAUGAAGGACGUGCUAAUCUGCGAUAAGCGUCGGUAAGGUGAUAUGAACCGUUAUAACCGGCGAUUUCCGAAUGGGGAAACCCAGUGUGAUUCGUCACACUAUCAUUAACUGAAUCCAUAGGUUAAUGAGGCGAACCGGGGGAACUGAAACAUCUAAGUACCCCGAGGAAAAGAAAUCAACCGAGAUUCCCCCAGUAGCGGCGAGCGAACGGGGAGCAGCCCAGAGCCUGAAUCAGUGUGUGUGUUAGUGGAAGCGUCUGGAAAGGCGCGCGAUACAGGGUGACAGCCCCGUACACAAAAAUGCACAUACUGUGAGCUCGAUGAGUAGGGCGGGACACGUGGUAUCCUGUCUGAAUAUGGGGGGACCAUCCUCCAAGGCUAAAUACUCCUGACUGACCGAUAGUGAACCAGUACCGUGAGGGAAAGGCGAAAAGAACCCCGGCGAGGGGAGUGAAAAAGAACCUGAAACCGUGUACGUACAAGCAGUGGGAGCCUCUUUAUGGGGUGACUGCGUACCUUUUGUAUAAUGGGUCAGCGACUUAUAUUCUGUAGCAAGGUUAACCGAAUAGGGGAGCCGAAGGGAAACCGAGUCUUAACUGGGCGUUAAGUUGCAGGGUAUAGACCCGAAACCCGGUGAUCUAGCCAUGGGCAGGUUGAAGGUUGGGUAACACUAACUGGAGGACCGAACCGACUAAUGUUGAAAAAUUAGCGGAUGACUUGUGGCUGGGGGUGAAAGGCCAAUCAAACCGGGAGAUAGCUGGUUCUCCCCGAAAGCUAUUUAGGUAGCGCCUCGUGAAUUCAUCUCCGGGGGUAGAGCACUGUUUCGGCAAGGGGGUCAUCCCGACUUACCAACCCGAUGCAAACUGCGAAUACCGGAGAAUGUUAUCACGGGAGACACACGGCGGGUGCUAACGUCCGUCGUGAAGAGGGAAACAACCCAGACCGCCAGCUAAGGUCCCAAAGUCAUGGUUAAGUGGGAAACGAUGUGGGAAGGCCCAGACAGCCAGGAUGUUGGCUUAGAAGCAGCCAUCAUUUAAAGAAAGCGUAAUAGCUCACUGGUCGAGUCGGCCUGCGCGGAAGAUGUAACGGGGCUAAACCAUGCACCGAAGCUGCGGCAGCGACACUAUGUGUUGUUGGGUAGGGGAGCGUUCUGUAAGCCUGUGAAGGUGUGCUGUGAGGUAUGCUGGAGGUAUCAGAAGUGCGAAUGCUGACAUAAGUAACGAUAAAGCGGGUGAAAAGCCCGCUCGCCGGAAGACCAAGGGUUCCUGUCCAACGUUAAUCGGGGCAGGGUGAGUCGACCCCUAAGGCGAGGCCGAAAGGCGUAGUCGAUGGGAAACAGGUUAAUAUUCCUGUACUUGGUGUUACUGCGAAGGGGGGACGGAGAAGGCUAUGUUGGCCGGGCGACGGUUGUCCCGGUUUAAGCGUGUAGGCUGGUUUUCCAGGCAAAUCCGGAAAAUCAAGGCUGAGGCGUGAUGACGAGGCACUACGGUGCUGAAGCAACAAAUGCCCUGCUUCCAGGAAAAGCCUCUAAGCAUCAGGUAACAUCAAAUCGUACCCCAAACCGACACAGGUGGUCAGGUAGAGAAUACCAAGGCGCUUGAGAGAACUCGGGUGAAGGAACUAGGCAAAAUGGUGCCGUAACUUCGGGAGAAGGCACGCUGAUACGUAGGUGAAGUCCCUUGCGGAUGGAGCUGAAAUCAGUCGAAGAUACCAGCUGGCUGCAACUGUUUAUUAAAAACACAGCACUGUGCAAACACGAAAGUGGACGUAUACGGUGUGACGCCUGCCCGGUGCCGGAAGGUUAAUUGAUGGGGUUAGCGGUAACGCGAAGCUCUUGAUCGAAGCCCCGGUAAACGGCGGCCGUAACUAUAACGGUCCUAAGGUAGCGAAAUUCCUUGUCGGGUAAGUUCCGACCUGCACGAAUGGCGUAAUGAUGGCCAGGCUGUCUCCACCCGAGACUCAGUGAAAUUGAACUCGCUGUGAAGAUGCAGUGUACCCGCGGCAAGACGGAAAGACCCCGUGAACCUUUACUAUAGCUUGACACUGAACAUUGAGCCUUGAUGUGUAGGAUAGGUGGGAGGCUUUGAAGUGUGGACGCCAGUCUGCAUGGAGCCGACCUUGAAAUACCACCCUUUAAUGUUUGAUGUUCUAACGUUGACCCGUAAUCCGGGUUGCGGACAGUGUCUGGUGGGUAGUUUGACUGGGGCGGUCUCCUCCUAAAGAGUAACGGAGGAGCACGAAGGUUGGCUAAUCCUGGUCGGACAUCAGGAGGUUAGUGCAAUGGCAUAAGCCAGCUUGACUGCGAGCGUGACGGCGCGAGCAGGUGCGAAAGCAGGUCAUAGUGAUCCGGUGGUUCUGAAUGGAAGGGCCAUCGCUCAACGGAUAAAAGGUACUCCGGGGAUAACAGGCUGAUACCGCCCAAGAGUUCAUAUCGACGGCGGUGUUUGGCACCUCGAUGUCGGCUCAUCACAUCCUGGGGCUGAAGUAGGUCCCAAGGGUAUGGCUGUUCGCCAUUUAAAGUGGUACGCGAGCUGGGUUUAGAACGUCGUGAGACAGUUCGGUCCCUAUCUGCCGUGGGCGCUGGAGAACUGAGGGGGGCUGCUCCUAGUACGAGAGGACCGGAGUGGACGCAUCACUGGUGUUCGGGUUGUCAUGCCAAUGGCACUGCCCGGUAGCUAAAUGCGGAAGAGAUAAGUGCUGAAAGCAUCUAAGCACGAAACUUGCCCCGAGAUGAGUUCUCCCUGACUCCUUGAGAGUCCUGAAGGAACGUUGAAGACGACGACGUUGAUAGGCCGGGUGUGUAAGCGCAGCGAUGCGUUGAGCUAACCGGUACUAAUGAACCGUGAGGCUUAACC